ACACAAUAAGUAAUCCACCUGGGGAGUACGACCGCAAGGUUGAAACUCAAAGGAAUUGACGGGGGCCCGCACAAGCAGUGGAGUAUGUGGUUUAAUUCGAAGCAACGCGAAGAACCUUACCAGGUCUUGACAUCCAACUAACGAAGCAGAGUUGCAUCAGGUGCCCUUCGGGGAAAGUUGAGACAGGUGGUGCAUGGUUGUCGUCAGCUCGUGUCGUGAGAUGUUGGGUUAAGUCCCGCAACGAGCGCAACCCUUAUCAUUAGUUGCUACGCAAGAGCACUCUAGUGAGACUGCCGUUGACAAAACGGAGGAAGGUGGGGAUGACGUCAAAUCAUCAUGCCCCUUAUGACCUGGGCUACACACGUACUACAAUGGCGAUUAACAGAGGGAAGCAAGACAGUGAUGUGGAGCAAAACCCCAAAAAUCGUCUCA
rnacentral:rRNA from 1 species